rnacentral:rRNA from 1 species
GAAACGACUGCUAAGACUGGAUAGGAAACAAAAAGGCAUCUUUUUGUUUUUAAAAGACCUUCUUAUGAAGGUAUGCUUAAAGAGGGGCUUGCGCCACAUUAGUUAGUUGGUAGGGUAAAAGCCUACCAAGACGAUGAUGUGUAGCUGGACUGAGAGGUUGAACAGCCACAUUGGGACUGAGACACGGCCCAAACUCCUACGGGAGGCAGCAGUAGGGAAUUUUCGGCAAUGGAGGAAACUCUGACCGAGCAACGCCGCGUGAACGAUGAAGUAUUUCGGUAUGUAAAGUUCUUUUAUUGAAGAAGAAAAAGUAGUGGAAAAACUAUAUUGACGUUAUUCAAUGAAUAAGCCCCGGCUAACUAUGUGCCAGCAGCCGCGGUAAGACAUAGGGGGCGAGCGUUAUCCGGAAUUAUUGGGCGUAAAGGGUGCGUAGGCUGUUAGAUAAGUCUAUAAUUUAAUUUCAGUGCUUAACGCUGUCUUGUUAUAGAAACUGUCUUGACUAGAGUGAGAUAGAGGCAAGCGGAAUUCCAUGUGUAGCGGUAAAAUGUGUAAAUAUAUGGAGGAACACCAGAAGCGUAGGCGGCUUGCUGGGUCUCUACUGACGCUGAGGCACGAAAGCGUGGGUAGCAAACAGGAUUAGAUACCCUGGUAGUCCACGCCGUAAACGAUGAGUACUAAGUGUCGGGGUAAAACUCGGUACUGAAGUUAACACAUUAAGUACUCCGCCUGAGUAGUACGUACGCAAGUAUGAAACUUAAAGGAAUUGACGGGACUCCGCACAAGCGGUGGAUCAUGUUGUUUAAUUCGAAGAUACACGAAAAAUCUUACCAGGUCUUGACAUACUCUGCAAAGCUAUAGAAAUAUAGUGGAGGUUAUCAGGGAUACAGGUGGUGCAUGGUUGUCGUCAGUUCGUGUCGUGAGAUGUUAGGUUAAGUCCUAAAACGAGCGCAACCCUUGUCGUUAAUUGCCAGCACGUAAUGGUGGGGACUUUAGCGAGACUGCCAAUUAAACAUUGGAGGAAGGUGAGGAUUACGUCAAAUCAUCAUGCCCCUUAUGAUCUGGGCUACAAACGUGAUACAAUGGCUGUGACAAAGAGUAGCUGAAACGCGAGUUUUUAGCCAAUCUCAAAAAAGCAGUCUCAGUUCGGAUUGAAGUCUGUAACUCGACUUCAUGAAGUUGGAAUCGCUAGUAAUCGCGAAUCAGCAUGUCGCGGUGAAUACGUUCUCGGGGUUUGUACACACCGCCCGUCA